GUGCUUGCCUCAGCAGCACAUAUACUAAAAUUGGAAUGAUACAGAGAAGAUUAGCAUGGCCCCUGAGCAAGAAUGACAUAAAAAUUCUGGGGAAAAAAAAAAAAAGCCU
ensembl:snRNA U6 U6 spliceosomal RNA